GACGAACGCUGGCGGCGUGCUUAACACAUGCAAGUCGAACGGAAGGGCCCUGCUUUUGUGGGGUGCUCGAGUGGCGAACGGGUGAGUAACACGUGAGUAACCUGCCCUUGACUUUGGGAUAACUUCAGGAAACUGGGGCUAAUACCGGAUAGGAGCUCCUGCUGCAUGGUGGGGGUUGGAAAGUUUCGGCGGUUGAGGAUGGACUCGCGGCUUAUCAGCUUGUUGGUGGGGUAGUGGCUUACCAAGGCUUUGACGGGUGGCCGGCCUGAGAGGGUGACCGGCCACAUUGGGACUGAGAUACGGCCCAGACUCCUACGGGAGGCAGCAGUGGGGAAUAUUGCACAAUGGGCGGAAGCCUGAUGCAGCAACGCCGCGUGCGGGAUGACGGCCUUCGGGUUGUAAACCGCUUUCGCCUGUGACGAAGCGUGAGUGACGGUAAUGGGUAAAGAAGCACCGGCUAACUACGUG
rnacentral:rRNA from 1 species